rnacentral:rRNA from 1 species
GGUUAAGCGACUAAGCGUACACGGUGGAUGCCCUGGCAGUCAGAGGCGAUGAAGGACGUGCUAAUCUGCGAAAAGCGCCGGCGAGGUGAUAUGAACCCUUGACCCGGCGAUGUCCGAAUGGGGAAACCCAGUGUGUUCCGACACACUAUCGUUAACUGAAUACAUAGGUUAACGAGGCGAACCGGGGGAACUGAAACAUCUAAGUACCCCGAGGAAAAGAAAUCAACCGAGAUUCCCCCAGUAGCGGCGAGCGAACGGGGAGCAGCCCGGAGUCUGAAUCAGCUUGUGUGUUAGUGGAACGGUCUGGAAAGUCCGACGGUACAGGGUGAUAGUCCCGUACACGAAAGCACACUUGCUGUGAACUCGAAGAGUAGGGCGGGACACGUGGUAUCCUGUCUGAAUAUGGGGGGACCAUCCUCCAAGGCUAAAUACUCCUGACUGACCGAUAGUGAACCAGUACCGUGAGGGAAAGGCGAAAAGAACCCCGGCGAGGGGAGUGAAAAAGAACCUGAAACCGUGUACGUACAAGCAGUGGGAGCCUCUUUAUGGGGUGACUGCGUACCUUUUGUAUAAUGGGUCAGCGACUUAUAUUCUGUAGCAAGGUUAACCGUAUAGGGGAGCCGAAGGGAAACCGAGUCUUAACUGGGCGUUAAGUUGCAGGGUAUAGACCCGAAACCCGGUGAUCUAGCCAUGGGCAGGUUGAAGGUUGGGUAACACUAACUGGAGGACCGAACCGACUAAUGUUGAAAAAUUAGCGGAUGACCUGUGGCUGGGGGUGAAAGGCCAAUCAAACCGGGAGAUAGCUGGUUCUCCCCGAAAGCUAUUUAGGUAGCGCCUCGUGAAUUCAUCUUCGGGGGUAGAGCACUGUUUCGGCUAGGGGGCCAUCCCGGCUUACCAACCCGAUGCAAACUACGAAUACCGAAGAAUGUUAUCACGGGAGACACACGGCGGGUGCUAACGUCCGUCGUGAAGAGGGAAACAACCCAGACCGCCAGCUAAGGUCCCAAAGUCAUGGUUAAGUGGGAAACGAUGUGGGAAGGCACAGACAGCCAGGAUGUUGGCUUAGAAGCAGCCAUCAUUUAAAGAAAGCGUAAUAGCUCACUGGUCGAGUCGGCCUGCGCGGAAGAUGUAACGGGGCUAAACCAUGCACCGAAGCUGCGGCAGCGACACUAUGUGUUGUUGGGUAGGGGAGCGUUCUGUAAGCCGUUGAAGGUGUGCUGUGAGGCAUGCUGGAGGUAUCAGAAGUGCGAAUGCUGACAUAAGUAACGAUAAAGCGGGUGAAAAGCCCGCUCGCCGGAAGACCAAGGGUUCCUGUCCAACGUUAAUCGGGGCAGGGUGAGUCGACCCCUAAGGCGAGGCCGAAAGGCGUAGUCGAUGGGAAACAGGUUAAUAUUCCUGUACUUGGUGUUACUGCGAAGGGGGGACGGAGAAGGCUAUGUCAGCCGGGCGACGGUUGUCCCGGUUUAAGCAUGUAGGCGGAGGUUCCAGGUAAAUCCGGUACCUUGUUAACGCUGAGGUGUGAUGACGAGGCACUACGGUGCUGAAGUGAUAAAUGCCCUGCUUCCAGGAAAAGCCUCUAAGCAUCAGGUAACACGAAAUCGUACCCCAAACCGACACAGGUGGUCAGGUAGAGAAUACCAAGGCGCUUGAGAGAACUCGGGUGAAGGAACUAGGCAAAAUGGUGCCGUAACUUCGGGAGAAGGCACGCUGAUAUGUAGGUGAAGCCCCUGCGGGCGGAGCUGAAAUCAGUCGAAGAUACCAGCUGGCUGCAACUGUUUAUUAAAAACACAGCACUGUGCAAACACGAAAGUGGACGUAUACGGUGUGACGCCUGCCCGGUGCCGGAAGGUUAAUUGAUGGGGUUAGCGGCAACGCGAAGCUCUUGAUCGAAGCCCCGGUAAACGGCGGCCGUAACUAUAACGGUCCUAAGGUAGCGAAAUUCCUUGUCGGGUAAGUUCCGACCUGCACGAAUGGCGUAAUGAUGGCCAGGCUGUCUCCACCCGAGACUCAGUGAAAUUGAACUCGCUGUGAAGAUGCAGUGUACCCGCGGCAAGACGGAAAGACCCCGUGAACCUUUACUAUAGCUUGACACUGAACACUGGUCCUUGAUGUGUAGGAUAGGUGGGAGGCUUUGAAGCGUGGACGCCAGUCUGCGUGGAGCCAACCUUGAAAUACCACCCUUUAAUGGCUGGUGUUCUAACGUAGACCCGUAAUCCGGGUUGCGGACAGUGUCUGGUGGGUAGUUUGACUGGGGCGGUCUCCUCCCAAAGAGUAACGGAGGAGCACGAAGGUUGGCUAAUCCUGGUCGGACAUCAGGAGGUUAGUGCAAUGGCAUAAGCCAGCUUGACUGCGAGCGUGACGGCGCGAGCAGGUGCGAAAGCAGGUCAUAGUGAUCCGGUGGUUCUGAAUGGAAGGGCCAUCGCUCAACGGAUAAAAGGUACUCCGGGGAUAACAGGCUGAUACCGCCCAAGAGUUCAUAUCGACGGCGGUGUUUGGCACCUCGAUGUCGGCUCAUCACAUCCUGGGGCUGAAGUAGGUCCCAAGGGUAUGGCUGUUCGCCAUUUAAAGUGGUACGCGAGCUGGGUUUAGAACGUCGUGAGACAGUUCGGUCCCUAUCUGCCGUGGGCGCUGGAGAAUUGAGGGGGGCUGCUCCUAGUACGAGAGGACCGGAGUGGACGCAUCACUGGUGUUCGGGUUGUCAUGCCAAUGGCACUGCCCGGUAGCUAAAUGCGGAAGAGAUAAGUGCUGAAAGCAUCUAAGCACGAAACUUGCCCCGAGAUGAGUUCUCCCUGAGACUUUAAGUCUCCUGAAGGAACGUUGAAGACGACGACGUUGAUAGGUCGGGUGUGUAAGCGCAGCGAUGCGUUGAGCUAACCGAUACUAAUGAACCGUGAGGCUUAACCUU